CGAACGGCUGAGUAACACGUGGGCAACCUGCCCUUUGCACUGGGAUAGCCUCGGGAAACCGAGGUUAAUACCGGAUACUCCAUAUCCAUCGCAUGAUAGAUAUGGGAAAGCUCCGGCGGCAAAGGAUGGGCCCGCGGCCUGUUAGCUAGUUGGUGGGGUAGUGGCCUACCAAGGCAAUGAUGGGUAGCCGGGUUGAGAGACCGACCGGCCAGAUUGGGACUGAGACACGGCCCAGACUCCUACGGGAGGCAGCAGAC
rnacentral:rRNA from 1 species